rnacentral:rRNA from 1 species
CCUACGGGUGGCAGCAGUGAGGAAUAUUGGUCAAUGGACGAGAGUCUGAACCAGCCAAGUCGCGUGAAGGAUGACUGCCCUAUGGGUUGUAAACUUCUUUUAUAUGGGACUAAAAUGUUCCACGUGUGGGCUUUUGUAUGUACCCUAUGAAUAAGGAUCGGCUAACUCCGUGCCAGCAGCCGCGGUAAUACGGAGGAUCCGCGCGUUAUCCGGAUUUAUUGGGUUUAAAGGGAGCGUAGGUGGAUUGUUAAGUCAGUUGUGAAAUUUUGCGGCUCAACCGUAAAAUUGCAGUUGAAACUGGCAGUCUUGAGUACAGGAGAGGUGGGCGGAAUUCGUGGUGUAGCGGUGAAAUGCUUAGAUAUCACGAAGAACUCCGAUUGCGAAGGCAGCUCACUGGACUGCAACUGACACUGAGGCUCGAAAGUGUGGGUAUCAAACAGGAUUAGAUACCCCGGUAGUC